rnacentral:rRNA from 1 species
UACGUAGGGGGCAAGCGUUGUCCGGAAUCAUUGGGCGUAAAGCGCGCGUAGGCGGCCCGGUAAGUCCGUUGUGAAAGUCAAAGGCUCAACCUUUGAACGCCGAUGGAUACUGCCGGGCUAGAGUCCGGAAGAGGCGAGUGGAAUUCCUGGUGUAGCGGUGGAAUGCGCAGAUAUCAGGAGGAACACCAGUGGCGAAGGCGAGUCCCUGGACAACACCUGACACUGAGGCACGAAAGCUAGGGGAGCAAACAGG